rnacentral:tRNA from 4 species
UGGGGCUGUGGCGCAGUCCGGUAGCGCACCUCGUUCGCAUCGAGGGGGUCAGGGGUUCGAAUCCCCUCAGCUCCACCCA